GAGAGAGCGCACAUGGCGACCUCCACUGUCUAGGUAGCAACAGGGUCUGGGGGUAGGAAGUGAGGUAGAUGGCAGUUCAGGUGGGUCUGGGUGGAGAGAGGGAGGGGCC